rnacentral:lncRNA from 1 species
AACAAAUUACUCUUUCAAAUUAAUGCAAUGUUAGUAUUAUGCAACAAUUAUGUAACCAAUUAUAAUGUUAACUGUGUCUAAAAUAUUUUUCAUCAAAUUUCCACUUUCAAAUGAAAUUAGCUUCUGCAUAGGUAUCCAUAGAGGGUUGAAUUUAUUAUAUGUUGUUCCUAUGGCCAUUAUCUACAAAAGGGUGUGUCAGAUUUCAGAUAGAGUGUAUAGAACAAAUUUUACACCUAAUUAAACAUUAUCUUCUUUUAUGUGGUCAGGAUGUUUACACUAAUUAGAGAUUUAUGAGAGAAUAGAAUACCAUAGAGACAGUCUGAGACACCCUUUUGAAGUCCAUGAUGUGUUGAUUAAGAUUUCGUUAAAAUUUUCUGUAUAGUUAAAGAGAUGAUAGAGCUAAAUUCAUUCAAGUGAACUUACCCAGAUUUUGCCACUAAUUAAAUAGUAAUUGAUUACAUAAUGAUUGCAUAAUAAAAAUAUUGCAUUCAUUUAAAAGAUUAAUCUUUUAUCUAUCUAUAUAUACCUAUUUUAUUAUUUUCUAUGCAUUCAUAAGAAAGUUGCAGCAUUUCAAAGG